UCUGCUGGUUCUGCUGGUUCUGCUGGUUCUGGUCUGAAAUGCUUCAGGUGAGCUGAGUGAGCCUGCAGCUUCAGGUGUGUUCAGGUAACCUGAAACAGAGAGCAGCAGAUUGGCUGUCUGUUAGGACCCAUCAGCCAAUCAGAGGCCAUCUACCUGUGUGAGUCAUCCAGUUAAACCACAGAGACUCUGAUCCAAACCACAGAGACCUGGACCAGGACACGUCUUCUCCGCCAGUAAAGGAUCUGAGUACUUCUUCCACCUCUGAUAAACACGCGUGUUUCCUUCAGGACGAAUGACGGAGUUAAAGGUGAACUUACCUUCCGAGUCUCUGACGGUCUGAUGGAGGUUCAGCUGGUCCUGGAGGUCCUGGAGGUCCUGGAGGUCCUGGUGUAU